CCGCGUGACACGGGGUGCUGCCCGCGGGCAGCUGAGAACACACCCGUCGAACCUGAUCCAGUUAAUGCUGGCGAAGGGAAUGUCCACUGCCCCGCCG
rnacentral:ncRNA from 2 species